AUUGAACGCUGGCGGCAGGCCUAACACAUGCAAGUCGAGCGGAUGAAGGCAGCUUGCGCCUGGAUUCAGCGGCGGACGGGUGAGUAAUGCCUAGGAAUCUGCCUGGCUGUAGUGUAUAACGUCCGCAGACGGGCGCUACUACUACAUACGUCCUGCGGGUGAAAGUGGGGGAUCUUCGGACCUCACGCUCUGAGAUGAACCUAGGUCGGAUUAGCUAGCUGGUGGGGUAAAGGCCUACCAAGGCGACGAUCCGUAACUGGUCGGAGAGGAUGAUCAGUCACAUGGGAACUUGGACACGGUCCAGGGUCCUAAGGGAGGCAGCAGUGUGGAAUAUUGGACAAUGGUCGAAAGCCUGACCCAAUCAGGGGGAGUGUGUGAAGGAGGUCUUCGGAUUGUAAAGCACUUUAAGUUGGGAGGAAGGGCAGUAAGUUAAGACCUUGCUGUUUUGACGUUACCAAGAGAAUAAGCACCGGCUAACUUCGUG
rnacentral:rRNA from 1 species